rnacentral:rRNA from 1 species
UACGUAGGGGGCAAGCGUUGUCCGGAAUCAUUGGGCGUAAAGCGCGUGUAAGCGGUUCGGUAAGUCUGCUGUGAAAGUCCAGGGCUCAACCCUGGGAUGCCGGUGGAUACUGUCGGGCUAGAGUGCGGGAGAGGCGAGUGGAAUUCCUGGUGUAGCGGUGAAAUGCGCAGAUAUCAGGAGGAACACCAAUUGCGAAGGCAGCUCGCUGGAACGUAACUGACGCUGAGACGCGAAAGCGUGGGGAGCAAACAGG